UACGUAGGGGGCAAGCGUUAUCCGGAUUUACUGGGUGUAAAGGGAGCGUAGGUGGCGUGCCAAGUCAGGAGUGAAAACCCAGGGCCCAACUCUGGGACUGCUCUUGAAACUGGCAGGCUUGAGUGCUGGAGAGGUAAGCGGAAUUCCUAGUGUAGCGGUGAAAUGCGUAGAUAUUAGGAGGAACACCAGUGGCGAAGGCGGCUUACUGGACAGUGACUGACACUGAGGCUCGAAAGCGUGGGGAGCAAACA
rnacentral:rRNA from 1 species